CUGAAAAACGCAGACGAAGAUUGUUGAAAUGGAGACAGAGAUAUCAAAACUUUGUCGUAUAUGAAGUUCCUUCUCUGAUAAAUCAAGCUAGCAGAUAUAGAAUUAGAAAUUCAAAGGUAAUCAGUAACACUAUAUAUGGAAAUUAAGAGAGAAGGAGAGAAGUCUAACCUGAGACAGAUCAUGCACACACUACAUACCUCAAUUUUUGGUCUUUAGAAGCUGAAAAGAUUAACUCCAUCGAGGGCAACUUUUGUGAAUAUCAUAACUUGGUGUAAAAGAUUAACUCCUAUCGAGAAG
rnacentral:lncRNA from 1 species